UGAACUUCUCAUUGGGGUCUGCAAGACAAU
rnacentral:piRNA from 1 species